rnacentral:rRNA from 1 species
CCUACGGGUGGCAGCAGUGGGGAAUAUUGGGCAAUGGACGCAAGUCUGACCCAGCAACGCCGCGUGAAGGAAGAAGUCUUUCGGGUUGUAAACCUCUUUUAAGGGGGAAGAGCAGAAGACCGUACCCUUUGUAUAAGGCACGGCUAACUACGUGCCCGCAGCCCCGGUUAUACGGAGGGGGCAAGCGUUUUCCGGAUUUACUGGGUGUAAAGGGCGGGCAGGCGGAGAGACAAGUCAGAUGUGAAAUCCGUAGGCUCAACCUGCGAACUGCAUUUGAAACUGUUUCCCUUGAGUACCGGUGAGGAAAUCGGAAUUCCUAGUGUAGCGGUGAAAUGCGUAGAUAUUAGGAAGAACACCAGUGGCGAAGGCGGAUGACUGGACGGCAACUGACGGUGAGGCUCGAAAGCGUGGGGAGCAAACAGGAUUAGAUACCCUUGUAGUC